GUUCGUUGAAAAUUUCGCACUCUAUUUUAAGAUCACUUUAUCUCUCUCACACUUUCUCUCUGAAAAACCCCUCAUUUUCCCCUUUCUCUCUCACACACUCACGCACUUCUUACUUUCUCUCUCUUCAAAGCGAAAAAGCUCAUCCCCCAUUUCUCUCGCCCGACUCAAAAACCCUAGAAUUUGCCCAAUUUUGAACGAUCGAUUUUCAGCUCCAUUUUUCACGCGCGCAAGAUUCACGACAUUUUGAGGCUGGAAAAUUGAUUGCGGAUUGAUGCUUGGGUUUGGACAACAGUCAUGAAGCUUUAUUUUUUAUUUUGAUGAAUUAUUUGCUGCAACAUAAGCAGAGUAAUAGAGAAGUAUUCUUGAAACUCUUGUUAGAUCAUUAUUUUGUUGAUUUACGCCGAGCACACUAAGUGCGAGGAUUUUGGGUUCUAAUCAUCUAUGCCUGGCAACGAAGUUGGAGAUAGAGUUCACAAUUUUUUUGCACAAGAUAAUUUGCCCCAGGGACAGAAUCAUACACAAGCUCUGGACGGGAAUUGGUCUGUCUUAAGUAGUAAUUUGUGGCCUGGAAGCCAGAGACAAGUUGGUCUAAUAAGUACCACCACAAAAAACUACAAUCUACAGCAAUCAGGUAGUGAUAGAGGACAGGUUGGUAACCCAUUCCAUGGAUCACAUGGCUUGACCUUUGCUCAAUCAUCUCCAAGGCCUGAAUUUGGUAAGAGUCAGACGCAAAGCCAUCAACCAAACUUCAAUGUCAUGUAUGGCAAUCAGUUCUACCAGACGAGGCAAGAUGAAACAAAUUUUCUGUCAAUGGAUACAAGUUCCGAUCAGCGUAAUCUAACCUCGAGAACUAUAGGAUCACAACAAGUCAGUGCUCCUGAAAAUCAAGGAAAAUCUUCAGUUAGGUCCGAUACGUCUGGACCCCCUGUAGGUUUUGACUUUUUUGGUGGUCAACAGCAGAUGAACCAUCAGCAAUUAAGUAUGCUGCAGUCUUUGCAGCAUCAGUCGCCUGGGCCAAAUGAUAUCCAAGUGCAGCAAUUUAUGCUCAUGAGGAUGCAGGAGCUUCAAAGGCAGCAGCAACUUCAGCAAAUGGAUGCAAGGCAGCAGGGUCUACUUAAUCAGAUGCCUCCCUUUGCCAAACAGUCAUCUGGUAGCCAACCCACUCCUCUGAUUAGCAGUGCUGUCAACUCUGAUGCAUUGGGUUACCAUUGGGCAAGUGAGUUUGGUAAUGCAAACUGGGUGCAGCAGCAUCCACCAGCUAUGCAAGGAUCCUCAAAUGGACUUGUUUUUUCACCCAAUCAAGGUCAGACACAGCGAAUGGUAGAUUUAGUUCCUCAACAGGUUGAACAAUCUCUUUAUGGAGUUCCUAUAUCUAGCUCCAGAGGCAGUCUAAAUCAAUAUCCUCAGAUGGUGACAGAAAAACCUUCAGCUCAGCAACAAGUAAGCUUUGGUAACUCUCUUCCUGGUAACCAGUAUACAGCAUUUCCUGGUCAAGUUAGUAUGCAGGAUAGGAAUUCGAUUGCUAGGCAGAGAUUUCAAGCUGAAAAUUCUUUUGGACAUGGUUCUGGUCAAGCUUUAGGUAGUGGAAUAGAUAUGGAGAAUGUCCACCAAGCGAACUCCAUGCAGAGAAAUGAACAGACAGGGGAAUUCCGUCGGAGGCAGGAACAACUGGUUCCACCUGAGACCCUGCAGGGAAAAACAGAGAGACAAGAUAUUGCUUCAAGGGAUGAUGUUACCUUAGAUCCUACAGAAGAGCGGAUUUUGUAUGGUUCAGAUGAUAUCUGGGCUGCCUUUGGAAAGGGCCCUAACAUGGGGGCAGAGGGCUCUAAUCCGUUCGAUGGUGCAGGAUUGAGUGGAUUUUCUUCCAUUCAAAGUGGCACUUGGAGUGCUCUUAUGCAGUCUGCUGUUGCAGAAACUUCUGGUAGUGACACUGGGUUACAAGAAGAAUGGAGUGGUUUAACGUUUCAAAAUAAUGAUAUUCCUUCAGGGAAUCAGCAUGUACUGUCAUGUGAUGAUGGUAGGAAGCUGCAGACACCUUUGGCCAAUGACCAUUUGCCCAUGGCAUCAUCUUUUGCUUCGGGAACCGCUCCUCCAUCAGGUGACUCAAACGUGGUGAAAAACUAUCAGAAUGCCCUGGGAUUCCAGCAAUUUGAACGCAAAUUUUCAUAUGAAACUGCUCAAAGACUGCAGGCAAAUCCUUCUCAAGGACUUGAUCAGUCCUCUGCAGAUGGUGGAAGGUGGUCAAAUGGUAUUCCAGUUCUGAAGUCUGGUGCUGAAGGGAGUCAAUUGCAUGGAAAUCUAUCUCAUUCUCUUGAUGCUGAGAGCAGUGCAUCUAGACAACUGUUAAAUAAACCAAACGGCUGGAAUGUUUUUGGGUCCGUAGCACCCUAUGAAGAUGCGGGAGUAACUGUUCAAGGGACUGAAAACUCACUGCAACAUUCUCAAAGCAAUGAUCAUAAGCAAACUAUGCAUAGGGAAGUGGUUGAUGGUGGAGCCCUGUUUAACUCUCAUUCUGGUCGUGAUGCAGCAUCUGAAAUGGAGCAGGUAAAAUCUGCCUUGAGAAGUUCCCAAUUGAAUAAAGAGGGCUUUCGAUCAAAUAAUGCUGCUGCAUUAUCGGAUUCAAGUACCAUAAGGGCUGGUGAGGGAAGUAGUCAGUUUCUUCCGAACAGUUAUCAUCUCAAUUCUUGGAAAAAUGCUGAUCCAUUGGUUAAUUAUAAAGCUGGUGAAGUUCUAGGAGGUUCACAGCAUGGGAAUAAGAUUUGCUCUAGUAAGGAGGAAGGUAGAGGGCAUGAUAUGGAGAAUAGUGAUAAACAGGAGAACUCUAACGACAGCUACCGCUCUAAUAUGUCCCACCAUACUUCCGCUGGUGGUCAAAAGGAAAAUGCUGCUGCAGAUGCUAUUGAUUCAAGGACUUUGUCUGCUGGCAAUCAAAAGUCAUCCAAUCAAAUGGCUAGGAAAAAUCUGACUUCUCGGAAGUUUCAAUUUCAUCCCAUGGGAAACUUGGAUGAUGAUGUUGAACUUCCUUGUGGAUCAAAAAAGCCAAUCCAUUCACAGCCUGCCUCUCAUUUUGGGCAGUCAAAGUUAUUCAGUCAGGUGCCAAAAAAUUCAGUUGACACAGAAAAGGGGCAAUCAGCUGAUAUGCAAAGGAACAACAUAGGAUUUGAUGAGGUGCACUCCCCAGGCAACUUCCCCGGUUCAGUUCCUAAUAUAUCUUCUCCAUUCAACAGAUCUUUGGAUUUAGGCACACAAGACAAGACUUCUCAAUCGAGUCGAAACAUGCUAGAGCUACUUCACAAGGUUGAUCAGUCAAGGGAGCAUGCUGCUAUGAUGCAUGCCAUUGCUUCUGAGCCCAAUGCAGCAUCUGAGACAGCUCAAGCAGAAAACUCUGAUGGGUCUGUUAGUCGGCUUCAACGGAGCCAGUCUUCCAACUCUCAGGGCUUUGGUUUACAACUUGGUCCUCCAAUGCAACGGCUGCCAAUACCAAGCCAGUCCUUGUCCUCUCAAAACUCCCUGCAGGGCGUAAGCUCCUUGCUUCUAACCACCCAUGCGGCAUCUGAAAUUGGACAGAAGGGUCAAGCACCGUUGGUUCCCUCAUCUUUUGUUCAGUCUAUGCCUUCUUCCAGUGAAAGAUCGCUUGGAGAGAAUAAUAGAGCUGGAGUACCUAGUCAGACGGGCAGUCAAAGCUCCCCAUAUAAUAUGACUGGAAACUUCUCUUCACCGUUUAAUUCUGGUUUUCCUCAUUCAAGAGGUCAGCUACAAAUUCAAGAGAUUGCUUGGGCUAGUGGACGGUUGUCAAGAUCUAGUCAAUCUUUGGAGACCUCUUUUCCUAAUGAGGCUGCGAGCAUUCCUCAAGGUAACUCUGUUUUAUCAGGUACCAAGCAAAUCAGUACAAACAUUCUGCCUGGAAAAAUUCUAGCCACACAAGUUUCAGCUGGCAAGCCUGUACUUGUUUCUCAGCCUUCGACUGUGUCUAAUACUUCUCUGCAAGGCACCUCCUCUAAAGCAUUGCCAAAUAUGUGGAGCAAUGUCACUGCAGCACAACAUUUAUUGGGUGCUCAGUAUCGUAAGGUGUCUUCACAAUUUCCCCAGUCAAAUCAAAUGAAUGUUGGAAAUUUAACUUCUGCUUCUCUAAAUCAAUGUGAUCAAGAUGGUAAACAAGGAAACCUUCAAUCUGAGUUUGGUGCAAAUUGUGUGAAUGCACAAGGCUUCCGUUCUGAGGAAGAACAGCUUACAAAGGAACGUGCUAGCCAGCUACCUUCUUCAGAAAAUAUGAACCUUGUUCAGAAGAUGAAUGAAUCACAGGGAAAGGAACCCAUUGUAAGGACUUUAUCAGAUGGAUCUCCUGCAAAUUCUGUGUCAACGCAAAGAGAUAUUGAAGCCUUUGGCCGGUCUCUGAAACCAAAUAACUUGCUUCAGCAAAAUUAUUCAUUGUUGAACCAAAUGCAGGCCAUGAAGAGUGCAGACGACGAUCCAAGCACUAGGGUCUUGAAAAGAAUGAAAGGAUCAGAUAAUGGUCUAGGUGGUCAGCUUGUACCUCCUAUAGCUGGGCAAUCAAAUGAUCUCACUGCUGUCGUUGGAGAUGCAUUAGUUCCCCGGAAGACACUUCCUUCUGUAGAUCCUACCAUGCUGAGCUUCUCAGCACCUGAAAAUAGUAUGGAAAGGAAUCUUGCUUCUGAACAUGGUAAUAUAGCGUCUCAGAGUGUGCUUGCAUUUAGUCGAGAUGGUUCUCAGAGCAGUAAUAGUGCUGCCUCGACCAAAAUUGACCACUCUAAGAUCAGUCCCCAGAUGGCUCCUUCCUGGUUUAAUCAGUAUGGAACCUUCAAAAAUGGGCAGAUCUUGCCUAUGUAUGAUGCACGCAAACCUGCCAUUUUUAAGACUGGGGAACAGCCUUACACUCUUGGAAAAUCUUCCAGUGGCUUGCACACCCUCAAUUCAAUGGAGCCAUCGAGUGCUGCUGCUGUGGAAACGAAUCAAGUUGGUAGCAUCAGGCAUACAGCAACCCCCUCACUAGCAGCCGAGUAUUUAUCUUCUCAGAUUUUGCCUUCCAUUGCCAGUGGUCAGCAUCCAGUAAUAUCGAAAACCAAGAAGCGCAAGAGUGCCACUUAUGAACUUAAUCCCUGGCACAAAGAAGUGUCACAAGGUUCCCGAUGUCUUAAAAAUAUCAGCAUGGCAGAGAUUGGGUGGGCUAAAGCAGCAAACCGACUUGUUGACAAGGUUGAAGAUGAUGUUGAAUUGAUGGAAGAUGGAUCACUGAUGCUUAAACCAAAAAGAAGGCUUAUCUUGACAACACAGCUUAUGCAAAAAUUACUUCGCCCUCCACCAGCAGCAAUACUGUCUCUGGAUGCUAAUUUAGAGUAUGAGAGUGUGGGUUACUCGAUUUCGAGAUUAGCAUUAGGUGAUGCAUGCAGUCUUGUCUCACUCACAAAUGACAAGUCCAAUAUGCUACGUGAUAGCAUAAACAGGUAAUAACUUUUUUUUUUUUUAAUGCUAUGCUAGUUUUUUAGUCACAUGAGUGACAUAACAGCAGUUGUUGAUUAUUCGCCAUUUUAUUGUAUUUCUGAUGGCUUCAAUUUCAAAUGACUCUCUAGGGAUAUUGAUGAAUGCAGAACAUCAGAAAGCGUUGAAGAUCAGCUUCUGUUGAAAGUCAUGGAUGAUUUCACAGCAAGAGCAAGAAGGCUUGAAGAUGAAUUUUUGCGGUUGGACAAGAGAGUGUCAGUUUUGGACUUGGUAGUGGAAUGUCAAGAUCUAGAGAAGUUCUCGGUGAUUAAUCGUUUUGCUAAAUUCCAUGGACGAGGGCAGGCUGACAAUAAUGAGGCUGCAUCUUCGUCUAAUGCAGCUGCUAAUACUCAGAAACCCCAUCCUCAGAGAUAUGUUACUGCUCUUCCUUUGCCUAGGAAUCUCCCCACCAGAGUACAAUGUUGUUCAUUAUGAUUAUUAAUUAAAAUUUCCCCUUUUUCUGGCUGUCUCCUCACAUCCUCGCAUCCUUGGUACAUUUCGUGCUGGCUGUACACUGGCACUUGCACCAACACAGAAAAAGACAAUGAGAUUGCUGAAAGGAAGAGUGAAAGUACUAAAUUUGUCUCUUUGAAUGCGAUGUCAUUAUUGCGCAAUUGUACUUUGUAUUGGAUGCUUCUGGUGUUGGAAGAAGGUAGCUGCGGUUCUAUUUAAGAGUUGAUUAAUUGACUCAAUUGACAAAUUUGGCAGUAGUGAAGAUUUGUGUGUCUAUUGUGAGGAUCUACAAAGCUGCUAUUUGAGGUGGGUUUGAGAUUGACAUCUCUCAUUUUAAGCUUGUGGCACAUAUAUGUUGUACUGAAUGUUGGCCAUCUAUUGUCUCCUGAUUACUUUGUGAAUUAGAGGAUGCUGACUUCUUUACUCGAUACAGUCUGUUUUGUGUUUAAUGAGGCUGCAUGGAAACUGGUUGUAAAUUAGUCAUGGAAGUGUGUGCUUAAAUUGAAGUUUUAGAAUUAGAACCAUAGUUUCCCUAAACUGGGAUGAAUCCAAAUAGUUUACAGUUCCUCACUUCUCAAUCCCCAACUUCAUCCAAGUUUAUUUUCAUUA